UACGUAGGGGGCAAGCGUUGUCCGGAAUUAUUGGGCGUAAAGAGCGUGUAGGCGGUCCGGUAAGUCAGCUGUGAAAGUCAAGGGCUCAACCCUUGAAUGCCGGUGGAUACUGUCGGGCUAGAGUCCGGAAGAGGCGAGUGGAAUUCCUGGUGUAGCGGUGGAAUGCGCAGAUAUCAGGAGGAACACCGAUGGCGAAGGCAGCUCGCUGGGACGGUACUGACGCUGAGGCGCGAAAGCGUGGGGAGCGAACAGG
rnacentral:rRNA from 1 species